rnacentral:rRNA from 1 species
AUGAUGUAUGGAAUGAAGAUAAAGAGAAUGUGGGAGGAUGAACUGAAGCCACUAUUGUGUUCUGUUGGUGGACCAGGAAGUGUUAUAGUGGUCACAUGUCGAAGCAAACAAGUGGCCUCUAUAAUGUGCACUGUCAAGCCCCACGAGCUAGUAUUUCUGAGUGAAGAAGACUCAUGGGAAUUGUUUUUGAACAAAGCAUUUAGCAAUGGUGUUGAUGACCAACCAGAGUUGGUCGCCAUCUUAAGGCGUAUUGUCAAUAAAUGUGAGGGGUUGCCUCUUGCUCUUAAGAUGAUGGGCGGAUUGCUGAGUUCAAAGGAAAAAGUACAGGAAUGGAAGGCCAUCCAAGAAAGUAACAUUAGGGAUAAUGAUGGAGGCAAAUAUGAGGUAAUGCCCAUACUGAAGUUAAGCUACAAACACAUGUCCUCUGAAAUGAAGCAAUGUUUUGCAUUCUGUGCGGUUUUUCGCAAGGAUUAUGAGAUGGAGAAGGAUAGGUUGAUGCAACUAUGGAUGGCAAAUGGCUUUAUUCAAGAAGAGGGAACAAUGGAUUUAGUGCAUAAAGGAGAAUUCAUUUUUGAUGAGUUGGUUUGGAGGUCCUUCCUCCAAGAUAAGAAAGUGGUAGUCAAACCUGCUGUCUAUGAUGGUGACACACAAUAUGAGACAAUUGUAUGUAAAAUGCACGACUUAAUGCACGAUCUAGCAAAAGAUGUCACUGAUGAAUGUGUAUGUAAAAUGCACGACUUAAAGUAUUGUUAA